rnacentral:rRNA from 1 species
AGUAGGGAAUAUUGGACAAUGGGGGCAACCCUGAUCCAGCCAUGCCGCGUGAGUGAAGAAGGCCCUCGGGUUGUAAAGCUCUUUUGUCCGGAAAGAAAAGCAUUCGGUGAAUACCCGGAUGUUCUGACGGUACCGGAAGAAUAGGCACCGGCUAACUUCGUGCCAGCAGCCGCAGUAAUACGAAGGGUGCAAGCGUUACUCGGAAUUACUGGGCGUAAAGCGUGCGUAGGUGGUUGUUUAAGUCUGAUGUGAAAGCCCUGGGCUCAACCUGGGAAUGGCAUUGGAAACUGGGCAGCUAGAGUGCGGUAGAGGGUAGUGGAAUCCCCGGUGUAGCAGUGAAAUGCGUAGAGAUCGGGAGGAACAUCUGUGGCGAAGGCGACUGCCUGGACCAGCACUGACACUGAGGCACGAAAGCGUGGGGAGCAAACA